rnacentral:rRNA from 1 species
UACGUAGGGGGCAAGCGUUGUCCGGAUUUAUUGGGCGUAAAGAGCGUGUAGGCGGCUUCACAAGUCCGCUGUGAAAACUCGAGGCUCAACCUCGAGAUGUCGAUGGAAACCGUCUGGCUAGAGUCCGGAAGAGGAGUGUGGAAUUCCUGGUGUAGCGGUGAAAUGCGCAGAUAUCAGGAAGAACACCUAUGGCGAAGGCAGCACUCUGGGACGGUACUGACGCUGAGACGCGAAAGCGUGGGGAGCGAACAGG